GGGUGCGAUCAUUCCAGUGUUAAUGCAG
rnacentral:rRNA from 1 species